CCGAAGAGGGUGGAUCCCCCGCUCAGGGAUCAUGCUGGUACAGAUUAAAACCAGCCCUGUGGGCAUGUGUUAGCUUGGCAUGUUUAGAGUGGGCAAUAAGGAAGGGCUCAUUGUUAGCUAGCAGAUGUUUUAAGAUAACAAACUAAAUAAGAAAGACUGCUAAUGUAUGCAAAGAUAAACAAGAACUUCAGGUAACUGCCCAAGAAGAUGAAAAGUACAUCUUGAAGAGGCGCCAGAGGGAGGAGAUUCUGAAUGCUCGGAAACCUGUGCGUGCCUUUGUAUAAUAACUAUCGGGCUGCCUGUUGAAACGGUGUGCAAGUUAGGAGGAGCGAUCCCCCUUGCACCCAGUGCCACAAUAAACAUACCUGCUUUAUAACUCUCCUCGAGUUGCAGAGUUGCGAUUCCGCACGUCACUACGCAGAGGUGCUUUGUGUGGGAAGUGGCGGGUGGCUGCGGGAGGGUGCUCCGGCCGUGCCCGCGCCCGAUGCUGUAGUGGGCAUGGCGCCAAGCCACGCGCUUCCAGUCCGGCAGGGAUCUGCAAGUGGAGAGCUGUGCCACUGCUGUAAAGGAAAAUGUGGUCAGACGCUGCAAUCUGUGCAAAACUAUGCACCUUUUUAAAAAGGCGUAGUGCCAAUCUCUGGAGAAGUGCCACAAUGGGAUAUGGACCACAGUACACCACAUGUGAGGUCUUCACCUUUUUUCCCUCCACGUGGUUACCAAGGAAUGCAAAAGCAAGCUAUCACUGUGUGUCAGAUGCCAGCAAGAUCUAAGAGCUCUGGAGCAGCUGAGAACAUGGAUACAGCAUCUCAGAUGUCGGGAUGAUGCUGUACUGGUAGAGG